rnacentral:rRNA from 1 species
GACGAACGCUGGCGGCGUGCUUAAUACAUGCAAGUCGAACGGAGCCUAGCCGAUAGGUUUACUUAUUGGCGAAAGCUUAGUGGCGGACGGGUGAGUAACGCGUGGGUAAUCUGCCCCUAAGUCCGGGAUAACAGAGCGAAAGUUCUGCUAAGACCGGAUAUGCUUUUUUAGCCGCAUGGUUAAGGAAGGAAAGGAAACGCUUAGGGAUGAGCCCGCGUCCCAUUAGCUAGUUGGUGAGGUAAGAGCUCACCAAGGCGACGAUGGGUAGCCGGCCUGAGAGGGUGGACGGCCACACUGGGACUGAGACACGGCCCAGACUCCUACGGGAGGCAGCAGCAGGGAAUCUUGGGCAAUGGGCGAAAGCCUGACCCAGCGACGCCGCGUGGAGGAAGAAGUCCUUCGGGCGUAAACGUCCUGGACUGGGGACGGAGGAAGGACGGUACCCGAGUAGAAAGGGACGGACGUAACUACGUG